rnacentral:rRNA from 1 species
GACGAACGCUGGCGGCGCGCCUUAUACAUGCAAGUCGAACGAGUACGGACUUCGGUCCAUAUGUACGAGUGGCGAACGGGUGAGUAACACGUGAGAAACCUACCCCAGAGACCGGGACAACCAUUGGAAACGAUGGCUAAUACCGGAUGCCCUGUUGUGAUCGCAUGGUCACUUCAGGAAAUGAUCAGUCGCUCUGGGAGGGUCUCGCGGCCUAUCAGCUAGUUGGUGAGGUAACGGCUCACCAAGGCAUCGACGGGUAGCUGGUCUGAGAGGACGAUCAGCCACACUGGGACUGAGACACGGCCCAGACUCCUACGGGAGGCAGCAGUAGGGAAUCUUGCACAAUGGGCGAAAGCCUGAUGCAGCGACGCCGCGUGGGGGAUGAAGGCCUUCGGGUUGUAAACCCCUUUCAGUAGGGACGAAAAUGACGGUACCUACAGAAGAAGCUCCGGCCAACUACG